ACUACUUUUUUCGAAUCCCUAUACUCUUUGGGUGGGAAGUGAAAAUCCUAAAGCGAUAACUGUAUUUCUAGUGGGUGCUGCAAUCCCAUCGAUGCCGUGCACCUUACCUGAUAGAUAUUGAUAAUACGCACAUCGAUGCAUAGACAACUCUUUGUCUAGAUACUUCUCUAAACAUAUUGUAGCUAUUUGAUCUCUAAGUCAUGUGGGCUCACCUGAUAGAUUUUGACCACACUCUUUAGUUAAGUCCGACCUACCAUUCACAAGCAAGUGCCAAGCUG
rnacentral:lncRNA from 1 species